GAUGAACGCUGGCGGCGUGCCUAAUACAUGCAAGUCGAGCGAACGGACGAGAAGCUUGCUUUUCUGAUGUUAGCGGCGGACGGGUGAGUAACACGUGGAUAACCUACCUAUAAGACUGGGAUAACUUCGGGAAACCGGAGCUAAUACCGGAUAAUAUUUUGAACCGCAUGGUUCAAAAGUGAAAGACGGUCUUCUGUCACUUAUAGAUGGAUCCGCGCUGCAUUAGCUAGUUGGUAAGGUAACGGCUUACCAAGGCAACGAUGCAUAGCCGACCUGAGAGGGUGAUCGGCCACACUGGAACUGAGACACGGUCCAGACUCCUACGGGAGGCAGCAGUAGGGAAUCUUCCGCAAUGGGCGAAAGCCUGACGGAGCAACGCCGCGUGAGUGAUGAAGGUCUUCGGAUCGUAAAACUCUGUUAUUAGGGAAGAACAUAUGUGUAAGUAACUGUGCACAUCUUGACGGUACCUAAUCAGAAAGCCACGGCUAACUACGUG
rnacentral:rRNA from 1 species